UUAUAUGCUUAUGACAUAGGGUUAAUGCAUCAAAUCCCAUUAGAACUCCACAGUUAUUUUUCUUGGGCUAGAGUAGUACUGGGAUGGGUGACUACCUGGGAAGUCCUACUAUUUUACAUG
rnacentral:rRNA from 1 species